rnacentral:rRNA from 1 species
CGGGUGAGUAACGCGUGGGUAACCUGCCUCAUACAGGGGGAUAACAGUUAGAAAUGACUGCUAAUACCGCAUAAGCGCACAGGGUCGCAUGACCUGGUGUGAAAAACUCCGGUGGUAUGAGAUGGACCCGCGUCUGAUUAGCUAGUUGGCGAGGUAACGGCCCACCAAGGCGACGAUCAGUAGCCGACCUGAGAGGGUGAUCGGCCACAUUGGGACUGAGACACGGCCCAA